ACAUGUUUUCAACAUACAAAAAUGCAGAGUUACACACACAUACAGUACAAAACACUGUCUUUAAGUCAUUAAUUAAAAUCUAGGCCUUCCAUUAAAAGUAUUGAUAUCACAAUUGCACCAAGUUACGAGAAACAAUAUUGGCUAUCUUACCUCACACAAAUGAAACAAGCUGUAUUCCAAAGCAACAGGAUUCCUGUUAAUGAAUAUUAUAUCCUAAUUCAAUAAUUCAUCUAUCCUUUCUAAUUGAGCAACAUUUUGACUGCCCUUGUUUACAGAGUAGAAGGGUGCCUUUGCAGUGUGUUGUUCAGUGAAUCACUUCUCAUUACAUUCGGGCAACGCCCCCUUUUUGAAGGCUGUGCUCAAAUCUUGUUAUAGGAUCCACAUAGGGAGUACAAAAUUGCAUCAACUGUCAGUUGAGACGUUGUGACCUGGUUACAGUUUAGGUGGCAGUGUAGUAUAAUCUGGUCUUCUAACCUCAAGGUCACAGUUUCGGUUCCUGGUUGUGGCACUGCCGUUGUACCCUUGAGCAAGGUACUCCAGCUGUAUAAAUGGAUACAAUGUAAAAGACUGUUUGUAACUUUAGCUGUACAAUUUUAGCUGUACAAUUACUUGAAUAAAGUGAAGCUACUCCUGGGAGAGUGUUACGUUCGUGUGUGAGAUGCGUGCGUGCAUUUUCCUCCCCUCUUUCGUUCUGUUCUCUCUGUUGCUUUCAAUUUCCAGUCCAUGCGCCGCCCAUCAUCAUUCCCAUUCGUCAUCCCCGCUGCCAACCAUCAUCAUUCUAUCUACUCAACCCCCUGCCCUGCCAAUCAGCUCCCUUCUGCAAUCAUGUCUUCUCCAAUCAUCCCUCAGCUCUCCAUUUGAAAAACCCCCAUUCUGUUCCGGCUGAAAGAGUGUUUUUUUGUCUAAAAUCUGUCCUCCCUGUUUCACUUCAGAGACCAGUGAUAGGUAAAAUACGGGGGCCCCUAUACACGUGCUUACACGUAGGGUGAGUUCUCUGUCUACGCAUAUUAGUUUAGUGGUAGUGUUGCUCCCUGUAUUUAUGACCGCUGGUCAUAGUUAGGUUAGUUAAAUAGGUUUUGUUUUCUGUAUCAUUUAGUUCGUUAUAUUAUAAAUUCGUAGUUAGGGUAUUUUGUUUGUUAUUUUCGGCACCACUCCUUUUAUUUUUGACUGGUCUUGGUUGUGUGUCUCUGGCGUGUUUUUGUGUUUGAAAACUUGUGUAAAUACUGUAAAAUAGGCCUACUUGUAAAUAAUCCUACCUCUAUCGCAGUAAACACCCCAUUCACUGUA